rnacentral:rRNA from 1 species
UACGUAGGGGGCAAGCGUUAUCCGGAAUUACUGGGUGUAAAGGGAGCGUAGACGGCAGGGCAAGUCUGGAGUGAAAUCCCGGGGCCCAACCCCGGAACUGCCUUUGAUACUGGCAAGCUGGAGCGUGAUAGAGGAAGAUGGAAUAUCUGGUGUAGGGGUGAAAUCCGUAGAUAUCAGAUGGAACACCAAUGGCGAAGGCAGUCUUCUGGAUCGUCGCUGACACUGAGGGACGAAAGCGUGGGUAGCAAUCAGA